rnacentral:rRNA from 1 species
UGCGAACUCCUACGGGAGGCAGCAGUGGGGAAUUUUGGACAAUGGGCGCAAGCCUGAUCCAGCCAUGCCGCGUGUCUGAAGAAGGCCUUCGGGUUGUAAAGGACUUUUGUCAGGGAAGAAAAGGAUAGGGUUAAUACCCCUGUCUGAUGACGGUACCUGAAGAAUAAGCACCGGCUAACUACGUGCCAGCAGCCGCGGUAAUACGUAGGGUGCGAGCGUUAAUCGGAAUUACUGGGCGUAAAGCGAGCGCAGACGGUUACUUAAGCAGGAUGUGAAAUCCCCGGGCUCAACCUGGGAACUGCGUUCUGAACUGGGUGACUAGAGUGUGUCAGAGGGAGGUAGAAUUCCACGUGUAGCAGUGAAAUGCGUAGAGAUGUGGAGGAAUACCGAUGGCGAAGGCAGCCUCCUGGGAUAACACUGACGUUCAUGCUCGAAAGCGUGGGUAGCAAACAGGAUUAGAUACCCUUGUAGUCCU